UCGACUGGGCAGUAGAGGCAAGUUGCCCAAAUUCGCUAACUUCCAUCCCGCAAUUCCGCUGAACUCGGCCCGAAAAGCCCCCUCUUGCCUCAAUUCCCCGAAGUAAAUCUGAGCUUUGUGCAGCUCCGGAGCCAGAGCGUCCAGAUGCGGUCCGGGAGAUUAGCAAAGUCGGUGGAAGCCAAGCUGGAGAAAGCGCGGGCGCAGGGAGAAAAGUAGCCCCAAGUGCCCUGCAUUUGCUCUUCUAACAAAGUUCUGUUUGUUGACGGACUGACCGGCUUACUGACACAAAGAUGGGAAGCAAAUGGAGAGACGGAUCAAGGCCCUUCCUCGGCAUCUGGAGGAAGCUUGGGCGAGUGCCUUGGUCGCCAGAGAUGGGGUUUCGUGAUGUUGCGCAGUUCUUGAACUCCUGAGCUCCAGUGAUCAGUCUGCCUUGGCUGCCCAAAGUGCUGCGAUUACAAGUGUGAGCCACCGCGCUGGCCUAUAAUGUGUUCUUUAC